UACGAACGCUGGCGGCGUGCUUAACACAUGCAAGUCGAACGAAGUAGCGAACGGGUGAGUAACGCGUAAUCAACCUGCCCUUCAGCGGGGGACAACAGUUGGAAACGACUGCUAAUACCGAAUACUGAAGGAGGGGAUGGCGUCUGAUUAGGUAGUGGGAGGGGUAACGUUCCACCAAGGCGAGGAUCAGUAGGCGGUCUGAGAGGAUGAACGGACACAUUGGGACUGAGACACGGCCCAGACUCCUACGGGAGGCAGCAGUGGGGAAUCUUCCGCAAUGGACGAAAGUCUGACGGAGCAACGCCGCGUGAGUGAUGACGGCCUUCGGGUUGUAAAGCUCUGUUAAUCGGGACGCGGUACCGGAAUAGAAAGCCACGGCUAACUACGUGCCAGCCGCCGCGGUAAUUC
rnacentral:rRNA from 1 species